UACAGGGGGUGCAAGCGUUGCUCGGAAUUAUUGGGCGUAAAGGGUCCGUAGGCGGCCAUGCAAGUCGGGUGUGAAACCCCCGGGCUCAACCCGGGACGUGCACUCGAUACUGCGUGGCUUGAGUUCGGGAGAGGGAAGCGGAAUUCCCAGUGUAGAGGUGAAAUUCGUAGAGAUUGGGAGGAACACCAGAGGCGAAAGCGGCUUCCUGGACCGAAACUGACGCUGAGGGACGAAAGCGUGGGGAGCAAACAGG
rnacentral:rRNA from 1 species